GUGCCCUAACCGCAUGAGGCGGUUUCUUCUCCCCCUCUUCCCAUCUUCAUCUCCCCCAACCCGAUCGAUUUCCUCCUCUUCCUAAUUCUUCUCCUUCUUCUCCUGAAUUUCUUCCCCCUCUUCUGAUCUGAGCGUCGGCACCUCACGCUAGCACCGUGAUCUUCUUCAUCGCGCCGCUGCCAACGAACCCCUUGAUUUCCCUCCUCUACCGUCGCCCUCGGUUGCCACAGCCGCCGCCGCUCCGAUCUCCGACCGCCACGACCGAGCGAGGGCACCCUAGGUGUCGCCCUCUCCCCUCACGGAGCAUCGCUGACGCUGCUACAAUCGUCGCAACUGUGUGCCGACAGCCGACGUUGUUGUUGAUCCACUCGAGCAGCCGACGCUGCCGACGCCCUCUCCGAUCUCUUCUGUGCUGCCACCGACCACCCAGUCCGACGCUGACUUCACUGCCCGGCGCUACUCCAAUCGUCCUCUGCCCUAGCGCCGAUAGACGACCGCCUACCCUGUGCUCUAGCACCAGGUUUUGCCGAGCCACCUACAGGCCCUAGUUUUUCUUCAUUCGUGCCCUAGCUUUGAUCAGCUUUGUCUACUGCUUCACCCGCCAGAUGCAGCCGAUCUAGGACCACCGUGGGACCUUGCACUGCUGACAUAGAUCUAUGAGUAUGGGUCUAGGUACAACGCUGGUUUGGAGAAUUUUAGUUGGAUGACAGCAGCUCCAUUUGGUAUCGGCUACCCUUUCCAGCAUAAAUUCAUGAAGGGCUACGUGUAGAGUUUAAGGACUCUGAUUUACGACGAGUUGCCUUACGUGGGAUUUCCUUUGGCACGCGCAAUAUUUAAGGCGGGUACCUUGACUUAUCUUUGAUAAUGUCAUGUUGAUAUGUUUAGUAGGUUAUAACCUUUA